rnacentral:rRNA from 1 species
AGUAGUCAUAUGCUUGUCUUAAAGAUUAGCCAUGCAUGUCUCAGUACAAGCCAAAUUAAGGUGAAACCGCGAAAGGCUCAUUAAAUCAGUUAUGGUUCCUUAGAUCGUACCCACAUUUACUUGGAUAACUGUGGUAAUUCUAGAGCUAAUACAUGCAAACAGAGCUCCGACCGGAGACGGAAGGAGCGCUUUUAUUAGAUCAAAACCAAUCGGCGGCGGGUUCGCCCGUUCGUCGUACAACUUGGUGAAUCUGAAUAACUUUCUGCUGAUCGCAUGGUCUCGCACCGGCGACGCAUCUUUCAAAUGUCUGCCUUAUCAACUGUCGAUGGUAGGUUCUGCGCCUACCAUGGUUGUAACGGGUAACGGGGAAUCAGGGUUCGAUUCCGGAGAGGGAGCCUGAGAAACGGCUACCACAUCCAAGGAAGGCAGCAGGCGCGCAAAUUACCCACUCCCGGCACGGGGAGGUAGUGACGAAAAAUAACGAUACGGGACUCAUCCGAGGCCCCGUAAUCGGAAUGAGUACACUCUAAACCCUUUAACGAGGAUCAAUUGGAGGGCAAGUCUGGUGCCAGCAGCCGCGUAAUUCCAGCUCCAUAGC